rnacentral:rRNA from 1 species
AUUGAACGCUGGCGGCAGGCCUAACACAUGCAAGUCGAGCGGAUGAUGGGAGCUUGCUCCUUGAUUCAGCGGCGGACGGGUGAGUAAUGCCUAGGAAUCUGCCUGUUAGUGGGGGACAACGUUUCGAAAGGAACGCUAAUACCGCAUACGUCCUACGGGAGAAAGCAGGGGACCUUCGGGCCUUGCGCUAUCAGAUGAGCCUAGGUCGGAUUAGCUUGUUGGUGAGGUAAUGGCUCACCAAGGCGACGUUCCGUAACUGGUCUGAGAGGAUGAUCAGUCACACUGGAACUGAGACACGGUCCAGACUCCUACGGGAGGCAGCAGUGGGGAAUAUUUGACAAUGGGCGAAAGCCUGAUCCAGCCAUGCCGCGUGUGUGAAGAAGGUCUUCGGAUUGUAAAGCACUUUAAGUUGGGAGGAAGGGUUGUAGAUUAAUACUCUGCAAUUUUGACGUUACCGACAGAAUAAGCACCGGCUAACUCUGUGCCAGCCGCCGCUGUAAUAC